CCUACGGGAGGCAGCAGUGGGGGAUAUUGCACAAUGGGGGAAACCCUGAUGCAGCGACGCCGCGUGGGUGAAGAAGCGCCUCGGCGCGUACAGCCCUGUCAGCAGGGAAGAAAAUGACGGUACCUGAAGAAGAAGCCCCGGCUAACUACGUGCCAGCAGCCGCGGUAAUACGUAGGGGGCAAGCGUUAUCCGGAUUUACUGGGUGUAAAGGGGGCGCAGACGGCGAUGCAAGCCAGGAGUGAAAGCCCGGGGCCCAACCCCGGGACUGCUCGUGGAACUGCGUGGCUAGAGUGCAGGAGGGGCAGGCGGAAUUCCUGGGGUAGCGGUGAAAUGCGUAGAUAUCAGGAGGAACACCGGUGGCGAAGGCGGCCUGCUGGACUGCAACUGACGUUGAGGCCCGAAAGCGUGGGGAGCAAACAGGAUUAGAUACCCUUGUAGUC
rnacentral:rRNA from 1 species